CCUACGGGUGACAGCAGUGAGGAAUAUUGGUCAAUGGUCGGGAGACUGAACCAGCCAAGCCGCGUGAGGGAGGAAGGUACAGAGUAUUGUAAACUUCUUUUGUCAGGGAACAAAGGCGGGGACGUGUGCCCGGACGAGGGUACUUGAAGAAAAAGCAUCGGCUAACUCCGUGCCAGCAGCCGCGGUAAUACGGAGGAUGCGAGCGUUAUCCGGAUUUAUUGGGUUUAAAGGGUGCGCAGGCGGUCUGUUAAGUCAGCGGUAAACGCCCGGGGCUCAACCCCGGCGCGCCGUUGAAACUGGCUGUCUCGAGUUGGCGAGAGGUAUGCGGAAUGCGCGGUGUAGCGGUGAAAUGCAUAGAUAUCGCGCAGAACUCCGAUGGCGAAGGCAGCAUGCCGGCUCCACACUGACGCUGAGGCACGAAAGCGUGGGUAUCGAACAGGAUUAGAUACCCGAGUAGUC
rnacentral:rRNA from 1 species